rnacentral:rRNA from 1 species
GACGAACGCUGGCGGCGCGCUUAACACAUGCAAGUCGAGCGAGAACCGGGGCUUCGGCCCCGGGGACAGCGGCGAACGGGUGAGUAACACGUGGGUAACCUGCUCUCGGCACCGGGAUAGCCCGGGGAAACCCGGAUUAAUACCGGAUGGCCCCUCCGGCCCUCGGGCCGGCCGGGAAAGGUAGCUUCGGCCUCCGGCCGCAGAUGGGCCCGCGGCGGAUUAGCUUGUUGGCGGGGUAACGGCCCACCAAGGCACCGGUCCGUAGCUGGUCUGAGAGGACGCUCAGCCACACUGGGACUGAGACACGGCCCAGGCUCCUACGGGAGGCAGCAGUGGGGAAUCUUGCACAAUGGGCGAAAGCCUGAUGCAGCGACGCCGCGGGCGGGAAGACGGCCUUCGGGUUGUAAACCGCUUUCAGGAGGGACGAAGCCACUCGGGUGAAUAGCCCAGAGGGUGACGGUACCUCCAGAAGAAGCCCCGGCUAACUACGUGCCAGCCGCCGCCGUAAAAC